GGGGAUUUGGCUCAGUGGUAGAGCGCUUGCCUAGCAAGCGCAAGGCCCUGGGUUCGGGUCCCAGCUCCA
rfam:Rattus norvegicus chromosome 18, whole genome shotgun sequence.